GCCUGAGUGGCUCAGUUGGUUAAGCACCUGACUCUUGAUUAUGGCUCAGGUCAUGAUCCUAGGAUCGUGGGAUUGAGCCCCACGUCAGGCU
rnacentral:tRNA from 1 species